GAUGAACGCUGGCGGCGUGCCUAAUACAUGCAAGUCGAGCGGACGGACGCGAAGCUUGCUUCUUUGAUGUUAGCGGCGGACGGGUGUGUAACACGUGGAUCCCCUACCUAUAAGACUGGGAUCACUUCGGGAAACCGGAGCUAAUACCGGAUAAUAUUUUGAACCGCGUGGUUCAAUAGUGAAAGACGGUCUUGCUGUCUCUUAUAGCUGGAUCCGCGCUGCAUUAGCUAGUUGGGAAGGUAACGGCUUACCAAGGCAACGAUGCAUAGCCGACCGGAGAGAGGGAUCGGCGACACUGGAACUGAGACACGGACAAGACUCCUACGGGAGGCAGCAGAAGGGAAUCGUACGCAACGGGCGAAAACAUGACGGAGCAGCGCCGAGUGAGUGAUGAAGGUCUUCGGAUCGUAAAACUCUGUUAUUAGGGAAGAACAGAUGUGUAAGUAACUGAGCACAGCGUGACGGUAACUAAUCAGAAAGCCACGGCUAACUACGUG
rnacentral:rRNA from 1 species